CAAUAGCGUAUAUUUAAGUUGUUGCAGUUAAAAAGCUCGUAGUUGGAUUUCGGGUUGGCUUCAGCGGUCUCGCUUUGCGUUUGUACUGCUGCAGCCUACCUUCUUGUCGGGGACGGGCCUUCGGGCUUAAUUGCUUGGGGCCCGGAGUCGACGAUGUUACUUUGAGUAAAUUAGAGUGUUCAAAGCAAGCCUACGCUCUGAAUAUAAUAGCAUGGGAUAACACGACAGGACUCUGGCCUAUCGUGUUGGUCUGUAGGACCAGAGUAAUGAUUAAGAGGGACAGUCGGGGGCAUUCGUAUUCCGUUGUCAGAGGUGAAAUUCUUGGAUUUACGGAAGACGAACAUCUGCGAAAGCAUUUGCCAAGGACGUUUUCAUUGA
rnacentral:rRNA from 1 species